rnacentral:rRNA from 1 species
UACGUAGGUGGCGAGCGUUGUCCGGAUUUAUUGGGCGUAAAGAGCGUGUAGGCGGCCAGGUAGGUCUGCUGUGAAAACUCGAGGCUUAACCUCGAGAUGUCGGCGGAAACCAUCUGGCUAGAGUCCGGAAGAGGAGAGUGGAAUUCCUGGUGUAGCGGUGAAAUGCGCAGAUAUCAGGAAGAACACCCGUGGCGGAAGGCGGCUCUCUGGGACGGUACUGGACGCUGAGAC